GGAGAGGUGUCCGAGUGGCUGAAGGAGCACGCUUGGAAAGCGUGUGUGGGAGAAAUCUCACCGUGGGUUCGAAUCCCACCCUCUCCGCCA
rnacentral:tRNA from 1 species